rnacentral:rRNA from 1 species
CAGUAGCCACGGUAAUACGGAGGGUGCAAGCGUUAUCCGGAUUUAUUGGGUUUAAAGGGUGCGUAGGCGGCUAUUUAAGUCAGCGGUGAAAGACUCCGGCUCAACCGGAGCAGUGCCAUUGAUACUGGAUAGCUUGAGUGUUGGAGGGGUACAUGGAAUUGAUGGUGUAGCGGUGAAAUGCAUAGAUACCAUCAGGAACACCGAUAGCGAAGGCAUUGUACUGGCCAACAACUGACGCUGAGGCACGAAAGCAUGGGGAGCGAACAGGAUUAGAUACCCCAGUAGUCCCUGUCUCUUAUAC